UACGAAGGGGGCUAGCGUUGCUCGGAUUUACUGGGCGUAAAGGGCGCGUAGGCGGAUUGUUAAGUCGGGGGUGAAAGCCCGGGGCUCAACCCCGGAAUUGCCUUCGAUACUGGCAGUCUUGAGUAUGGGAGAGGUGUGUGGAACUCCGAGUGUAGAGGUGAAAUUCGUAGAUAUUCGGAAGAACACCAGUGGCGAAGGCGACACACUGGCCCAUUACUGACGCUGAGGCGCGAAAGCGUGGGGAGCAAACAGG
rnacentral:rRNA from 1 species